AUAUUACUCAGCGGAGGAAAAGAAACUAACAAAGAUUGCCUUAGUAACGGCGAGUGAAGAGGCAAGAGCUCAAAGUUAAAAUCGUGCAUCUUCGGUGUACGAAUUGUAACCUCAAGAGGUGGACAUAAGUCGAUCUGACGCAUAAGUCCCGAGGAUUCGGGCGCCAUAGAGGUGAAG
rnacentral:rRNA from 1 species